CUGGAAAUACAUGAAAAUGCUGUUCCCAGAUAAAGUGCCAGUUGGCAGCAGGAAAAGGAAAAAAAAUACGAGCAUGAGGCAAAGUGAAGACCUGAACAGGGGAGGAGCAGAGACUUUAAAUAUACUGGGUAGGGGGAGCAUUCCUGCUGUUAGGGAUGUGCUAUUUCCUGUUCCUCUUGGCACCCAGGCAUCAUGGAGGAAGAAAUGAGGGGAGGAUUGCAGGACCCCAUCUAGUGCACAAGAUGGAAUAUGCUCUGAGGCUGACUCAGGGCUCUAUACUGAAUGAGACUAUUACCUGUAAGAUCCCUGCAAAUAUUGGGUUUAUUGCAAAGGAAGCAAGGGAGUGCUGGAAGAGAAAGGAUGGACUCAUGUUUAACACAGAUGAAUGCUGCCCUGGAGUCUUGGAUUUUAUCCCUGUUUCUGCCUCAGUUCCUAUAUGAUGCUGGACAAGUCACUUACACCAAACAUUUCACAACUGGACACUAGUUGUGUGUUCCUCAUUUUCUGAGUGCCUGACUUGAGACCCUGAUAUCUGAUUUACAGAAGCGCUGAGUGGCUAUGCUUUUCGUUUUGGCUAUGUUAAUACCUCCCCUACUUCUCAGGGCAUGCUGCUUUUGAAGGCACACAUUAUGUUUUGAUUAGGCUGUGAAUUACACAUUCCCUCCAGCGUUCUUGUCUCUUCACUGUCAUUGACCUUCCCACACUCAAACCUAGUUUGAGAUGAUUAUUGUUAUGAGCAUGAUUUAGGAAAUGUUAAGGAAAAUUAUCUUCGCUUCCUAAUGCCUGCUACUUCUGCGAUGGGUGUGUGUGUGUGGGGUGGAGGGGGGCGCAUUGUCCCUCAUUCUAGUUCUUUGUCCCAUAUGUAGUCACUAACAGGCUGAGUGAUGAAAUAGUGACUCUCUGAGAAAAGUAAUACAGAAAAAAGGUGAGGAUAGCUGCUUAUUAAAAACCAAGAAGAGGAUUACAGUGGUUUCAUUCUUUGGGACUAAGAAUUGUCUCGUGGAUGAAUCAUGGGACUGAUAAUAAGAAGAUCCGAGACCAGGCUGUGACACUAACUAAACUGCUUGUGACCUUAGGCCAGGCAUUUGAGUCUUAGUUUCUGCAUCUGUGAUAUGAGACUAUUACCUACCUCGAAGAAGACAAUGUGAAGAUUAAUUCCUUACUAUGUAUAAAACAUUCUGAUAUCUAUAAAAGCAUGAUGCUUUGGAAAUGCAUUUUUUCCUCCCAGAAUGGUAGUGUAUGUUUGUGUGUGUGAGCGCACAUGUACACAGGAAAAAAACCCUAUGUCAACAGAACAUUAACACUUCAAAGUCAAGGAUUAAAUGCCUUGAUUAAAGUUGCAAAAUGCCAGGAUUAAAGUUAUCUGUGAAGCCUUCAUUUGGGUAUGAAUUAAAAUAGUCUUGGGAAUCAUCACUUAGGCAGUUUCUGACAGAAUCAAGAGACCUGUCCUGCUGGGUUUCAGUAAUGAGUCUUUCUCUUCAUACAACCCUCUGCCAAAAUAACUAUCCACUCUGUAUAGCGACCGAAGGAGGGGCUCUGUAGAACAAAUAUGUGAGCAUGUUAUUAAUGAUGAUAGUAAAAUGAAUAUGCACAAAGUGGCCAAAUUAGAAUUGCACAAGUAAUGUUAAUUCUGGCAUUUUCCUACUCUUUA